rnacentral:rRNA from 1 species
UCACUAGUCGAGUGACACUGCGCCGAAAAUGUACCGGGGCUAAACAUAUUACCGAAGCUGUGGAUUGUCCUUUGGACAAUGGUAGGAGAGCGUUCUAAGGGCGUUGAAGCAUGAUCGUAAGGACAUGUGGAGCGCUUAGAAGUGAGAAUGCCGGUGUGAGUAGCGAAAGACGGGUGAGAAUCCCGUCCACCGAUUGACUAAGGUUUCCAGAGGAAGGCUCGUCCGCUCUGGGUUAGUCGGGUCCUAAGCUGAGGCCGACAGGCGUAGGCGAUGGAUAACAGGUUGAUAUUCCUGUACCACCUAU